CUGUAAAGAAAUAAAUUGUAAAUACCUGCAGCCGUUAAGCCACCACGUGGUAACCAUGUGCUGCAAGCAGACACGACGAGAGGGCUGUAAACAAACAAUUUCCAGUCCAAACGGAUGAAUUUGCUGCCGUGACUAAAAAUGAUAGACAAUAAUACCAAUACAAGAUAUUUAGAACUUUUUCCAGAUAACCAUAUGGCACUGUCAUCAGCAAAUUGUGACAUAGCACAGUACUUUAAAUUAUUGGAUAUAUCAUUCACCAUGAUGUUAAAUAGUGUAGGACUUAUACAACUACCCUGUGGUGUACCAUUCUGAAUUAUAAAUAUUUCAGAAUAUGGAAGAUUUUCUCUGACAUAUAUGGCUGUACCUCCAUGUGAUUUAGUAUUACGUACAGAAAAAUCAGCUAUUUUAUAACCUAUUACAUGUGGAUGAUCUUGUUCGGUUUUACACCAUGUUUCCUGGAAGCAAAUUAUAUCAGGCUUCAUUUGUGACAUAGCUAUAUACUCCGCAGCAUUGUUGUUAAUGCCACGACAGUUCCAAUGAACAACACUGAACAUUAUGUUAUAUAAUAAUAAACAUGAUAAAUAAAUAGUAUAAUUGAUAGCCAUUAUUAGUUGUAUAUUGUUAAUACUUUAUAUUGGGCGAUAAAUAAAUUAUAUCAUUUCA